UCAGGAGGAGCCUGCGUCCCAUCAGCUAGUUGGUAGGGUAACGGCCUACCAAGGCUAUGACGGGUAGGGGACCUGAGAGGGUGGCCCCCCACAAUGGAACUGAAACACGGUCCAUACACCUACGGGUGGCAGCAGUAGGGAAUAUUAGAAAUGGACGAAAGUCUGAUCUAGCGACACCGCGUGUGCGAAGAAGGCCUUCGGGUUGUAAAGCACUUUUUGGAAGGAAUAGGAAGGAAGGUACUUCCAGAAUAAGUCUCGGCUAACUACGUGCCAGCAGCCGCGGUAACACGUAGGAGGCGAACGUUAUCCGGAUUUACUGGGCGUAAAGCGCGUGUAGGUGGUUUUGUAAGUAGGGCGUGAAAGCUCCCGGCUCAACUGGGAGAGGCCGUUCUAAACUACAGAGCUAGAGGAUGGUAGAGGGAGGUGGAAUUCCAGGUGUAGCGGUGGAAUGCGCAGAUAUCUGGAGGAACACCAGUGGCGAAGGCGGCCUCCUGGACCAUUCCUGACACUCAGACGCGAAAGCUAGGGUAGCAAACGGGAUUAGAGACCCCGGUAGUCCUAGCCCUAAACGAUGUAGACUAGACGUCGGCGGUGUAAUAACUGUCGGUGUCCAAGCUAACGCGAUAA
rnacentral:rRNA from 1 species